UUCUAAGUUUUCCUUAUACACUAAUAACGCAUUUCCUCUUCACAGUCGACAGUGAAAUCGCUUUUCAUUGCGACAAAUUUCUCGACAUUUCAAAGAAGACGACAUUCUAAACAUGAAUUUUCUUUCCAUUGAAGUAUAAUCAAGUUAAAACUGAAAAUAUGAGUGUACAUACUUGAAGCAGCAUAAGAAGCAGCUGAAGGAUGAGUGAGUUGCUGUGAGAGACUCUGCUGUGCUCUGUGUCCAUAUGAUCAGUACCCUUUUCGUUCAGCAACAGACCCUGCUGCGCCCUGUGUACAUAUGAUCAGUACCCUUUUCUUUCUGGAAUAAAUGUGAGGCAGUCCAGGUCUCUAGGAGCAAAAAAGGUAGAAAAUUGAGAGAGAUUUUAUAUUAUUAUGGUUUUUUAAGAUAGAAUUGGGUUAAAGCAGAUUAGUGAUUCUACCAUUCAUUAGCUUUUAUUUACCUUAUUUUGGUUUGUGUAAUUUUGAACAGAAAUUCGCAAUGAUUGGAGUAUAUAGUUUUGGGAAAUAUAUGUUAAUUAUUGUUGCCUUCCCUGCCACCUUAGAUAUUGAAUACAGAUUGACAGUACUUGGCUACAUGUUUGAUGCUUCAGCUGGUAACUGGUUCAUCCGAUUCGUGCCAAAUUACUCCAAAGCCAUUUCAGCGAAUGUGUCCAAUGCUACAACUAAUUUUUAGCAUGGCUUCCUGAGGUUGUCGUCUGGACUCUGAACUAUGGAGUGACAAAAUUUGUUUUGUAGAUUUAAAGAGUUUUGACUUUGAGGACUUAUGGACUAUGUAUGCAACAUCCGCCACCCGCCACUAGAUGGCGAGUAGAACUCCCCUGCUGUGUGUUUAUUAAUCAAAUAUCGGAAGCAUGAGAUAGGUUGGUCUCUUAGAGUUGUACUUGUAUAUUUUUUAUUCUCUUGAUCAAAAUUACUUCCCAAAAAAAAAAAAAAAAAAAAAAAA